AGCGAACGCUGGCGGCAGGCUUAACACAUGCAAGUCGAGCGGGCGUAGCAAUACGUCAGCGGCAGACGGGUGAGUAACGCGUGGGAACGUACCUUUUGGUUCGGAACAACACAGGGAAACUUGUGCUAAUACCGGAUAAGCCCUUACGGGGAAAGAUUUAUCGCCGGAAGAUCGGCCCGCGUCUGAUUAGCUAGUUGGUGAGGUAAUGGCUCACCAAGGCGACGAUCAGUAGCUGGUCUGAGAGGAUGAUCAGACACAUUGGGACUGAGACACGGCCCAAACUCCUACGGGAGGCAGCAGUGGGGAAUAUUGGACAAUGGGCGCAAGCCUGAUCCAGCCAUGCCGCGUGAGUGAUGAAGGCCCUAGGGUUGUAAAGCUCUUUUGUGCGGGAAGAUAAUGACGGUACCGCAAGAAUAAGCCCCGGCUAACUUCGUGCCAGCAGCCGCGGUAAAAC
rnacentral:rRNA from 1 species